CUACGGAGGGGGCUAGCGUUGUUCGGAAUUACUGGGCGUAAAGCGUACGUAGGCGGACUGAUCAGUUGGGGGUGAAAUCCCAGGGCUUAACCCUGGAACUGCCUUCAAUACUGUCAGUCUUGAGAUUGGAAGAGGUGGGUGGAAUUCCUAGUGUAGAGGUGAAAUUCAUAGAUAUUAGGAGGAACACCAGUGGCGGAGGCGGCUCACUGGUCCAAUACUGACGCUGAGGUACGAAAGCGUGGGGAGCAAACAGGAUUAGAAACCCUAGUAGUCC
rnacentral:rRNA from 1 species